GCCGCUCCAGUUCCUAUCCUACAGAAAGGAGUCUGCUCUCACUCAGAAGAAUAAGGAAUACUUCAGGGAUGAUUCUCAUUCUUGCAUUAAGCCAAGGCCCAAAGGAAGUUGAAUUAGAGCAGCAGAAGAAUGUAUUGCUUUUGGCUGAACGACAUAUCUGAUGAUGCUAAUUAUCGUCUUGAACACAGGCAUGACUCAGUGGCAAAAGACUGGUGGAAAGGCUGCCAAGAUCUGAGACUGUGUGUAUACAGGCCCCUGGGAUCUGACAUGGUUGAAAGGUUUGCUCCUUCCAAUUUGCUUUAGGCCAUUUACAUGACUGAAUAGCAAUAGAGUCCAAAAAAAUAUGUUUCGCCACUUACUUGAACAUAGGAUUACAAGGAGCAAAAUGCUCACUAUUGUUUCCCUUACUCAAAAGUUGUAUUGAUUUAGAUUUUUUUAAAAAAAGAUAAAUCUCUAUCUGGGAAUCUUCCACCUUAACUACUCUCCUUGAAUUGAUUUUGAAAUGCAAACUCUCCAACUAGGUUAAUAUUUGAAUGUGUACAUGCAAGAUCAUAGAGGGGGUCAUUUGUUAAAACCAACGAAGCAGAAUAUAAGUGAAUUGAAGUAAGUCUUUACCAUACUAGCAUUGAUGUGCAUACAGACAUUACCUGCAUUACCUGUGUGUGUUUGUAGUGCUUCAGUUGUCUACAGAGAAAAAAAAAGAACAUAUUUAAAAUGAGGUAUAGUGUAAACAGCCCUAUACUGGAGUCCUGUAGUCUUUAAGCUAUUAUGAAACAAUUAUGAUUUACCUGAUAGAACUUAAGAGAUGGAGCUUGGAGUUGACCCAAGAUCUUCUGAUUGUAGGCCAUAAAGUAGCUUUAUACUAAUUCCUUGAAAGUACUGCAUCUCUGAAAUGAGGGGCUAAAAAAGAAACUCUGUGAACUUCUGAAUUAGGAACAGUUCAAGUAUUGUAUCUACUUCUCACUAGGUAUGAUCUCAGAUAAAUCAUAUAACCCCAUUAAGUUUAUUUGCUAAUGUAUACAGUUGUGAUGCUAAAUGCACCUCAAAGAACUUUUAACUGUGAUAAGGGCCAGACAAUGAAACACCAGUGCAGGAAAAUGCUCACAAGCAUCUUGGCUACCAUCUUUCCAUGUGAGAAAAGCCUUUAGAUAGAAUUUUGCAAAAUAUCUUGCAAACUUAAGUAUAAUAUUACAUUGUAGAAUGCUGCUUCCUCUCUUUAAAUAUAAACUUGACCUUAUUCAUUGGUGAUGCUGAAUACUAACAAAAUAGGAAUAGUUUCCAAUAUGCCUAUUAUUUCUCUUUCUACGAACCAAGAACCACUCCAAGAGCUUUAUAUAUACAAAUUCAUUUUAUUCAUACAACAAUCUACAAUAGAGCCACAAUUUUUAUCAUCCCCAUUUUACAGAUAAGGAAAUUGCAACACAGGGAGCUUUGCCCAAGGUCCUCCAGAUAGUAAAUUUAAAUUCAGGCAGUCUGGCUCACAGAAAUCAAGACUUGAAACCUUGGAGUCACACUGAAUUUUAUUUUAUGCAGUAUUCUUUUUUUUUUAAGCUCAUGUAAUGCCUCCUAUCUGUAAACUUUGUUAACCAGUGAUAAAAUCUUCUUGACAUAGGACUUCCUGGACAGCUCACUUCAGUCCCUGCCUAUUUGAGAUCCCUCCUCACUCUCAUUGUCCCUCCCACAAUCAAUUUUACCAAGUUUACUUACAAAGUAACCAGUUUGAUCUUUUAAGAAUCAGAUCUCCUCUACCUCAAAAACUUUGAGAGUUCCUUUGGCCUUUCAAACAAAAUAUGAACUUUUGAAUCUAGUGCUCAAAGCCUCCCCUGUGUACUGAACCUAUAUUUUUCCCUUCUGCAAAUCAAGCAAAUUAUAGUUCUAAAAUUGAAGUAUAGCAGUCUCUAAAACUGUCUUGUUCUUUUUCGCAUUAUGUCUUUGAUAGUGCCAUAGCAAUAUCCUCUUUUCUCAAACCCAAUUUCUGCCAGUUGAACUCUAAUCUCUGAUGUAGGGUACAAUUUAAAUGAAUCUUAACCAUUAGACUCCCCCAGUGCCUUCAGCCUAGAAGUGGCUUCCCCUUUUCUGAAGAAAGUGGCACAAACUUCAUGCUUUUCCUGAUGAGGUUACAUAAAGUCCUGAUAUGUUUAUGUAAACCUGUUUGAGUAUUUGCAUGCAUUAUAAUGGGUCUUUUGUCUGAUUUUAAGAUUGAAAUUUUACACAUCCUUAUACAAUCUUUGCUGCAUAUCAGUAUACUUGGAUAAAUUAAUUCUCAAAAAUGUUCAUUGAAUCGCUGACUGAAUGAAUAACUCAUUGAACUGUGCUGACAUUGAUGGGUUUUCUACUAAGUUAAUUCAAUUGUCUGAUUACUUAAUAGCACUUCAAAAGUUCUGUUAUUACACUGUAUAUGU
rnacentral:lncRNA from 10 species